rnacentral:rRNA from 1 species
UACAGAGGGUGCAAGCGUUAAUCGGAAUUACUGGGCGUAAAGCGUGCGUAGUCGGUUAUUUAAGUCGGGUGUGAAAGCCCCGGGCUCAACCUGGGAAUUGCAUUCGAUACUGGAUAGCUAGAGUUCGGCAGAGGGAAGCGGAAUUUCCGGUGUAGCGGUGAAAUGCGUAGAUAUCGGAAGGAACAUCAGUGGCGAAAGCGGCUUCCUGGACCAGAACUGACGAUCAGGCACGAAAGCGUGGGGAGCAAACA